rnacentral:lncRNA from 1 species
UUAUAGAAAUAUUUAAUUUAAGAUAACUUGAAGCAUCAAGGACACAGCUUCCAAAGCCUCGCGUUCCAUUUACAGGCGGCCUGUAAUCAUCUCUUGGGAGAUGACUAUUGACUAGACUAGAUAACAGUUUUGCUGGCAUCAUACGCACCUGAUGCGCGGACCCUUUGCCGUCCUGCACGGGAAAAAAGGGGCUGGGUGAAAAAGAAAAUUCAGGCGAGCACGUAGCCGAUGUACGGAUGCACGCUUGGAUUGGAAGCACGGGUCGUCGUGGUCAUGGCCGCCACUGGAUGCUAGAGUAUUACUGCUUGGGUUGGAGAAGCACACGGUUCAGGCAUCGCCGACACGUACGUACGCCAACUCCAUCGUUUCCUGCGGUCCUGCACCGUAUCGGCUUCUUAGUUUCUAUAGAUUACAGUUAUAACAGUCUCUAAACAACCGACUUUAGUCCGAAGCGAACAACUAAAUCACUGUCAGUGUACCUUACUAACUCCUCUCCUGUAAUUCUGGAUCUCAAAGGGCCACUGUUGUCGGAUGAGACUGGACUUCUGAAGCACUAGUUGCUGGCAUUUACAUGCCCUUCCUGAGCACCUCCACCUCCCAUUCCUGCAACAAGCUCAAGCUUCCUCAUCAACAAAGAACUCUACAGAGUUGUCUGCGUCUCCCCCUGAGUCUACGCUCCAGUUCCACUCCGCGGCUUCCUCAAGUCAAAGACUGAAUCAUGACGAACUAUUACUGUCAGGAUCAUACAGUCGAUGUGCUUGUCCCCCUUCUUUAUGAAACCAGCCGCAAAAACAAAACUACUCCUACGAAAUAAACAAGAUCAGGAGAUGAGCGCGCUAAACGAAUCAGUCAAACUGACUAACGAAGCAGCCGAGAAGCUUCGUGCACAUUAAAAAAAAACAUGUACUCCCUCUC